rnacentral:rRNA from 1 species
UAUGAACGCUGGCGGCGUGCCUAAUACAUGCAAGUCGAGCGAACAGACGAGGAGCUUGCUCCUCUGACGUUAGCGGCGGACGGGUGAGUAACACGUGGAUAACCUACCUAUAAGACUGGGAUAACUUCGGGAAACCGGAGCUAAUACCGGAUAAUAUAUUGAACCGCAUGGUUCAAUAGUGAAAGACGGUUUUGCUGUCACUUAUAGAUGGAUCCGCGCCGCAUUAGCUAGUUGGUAAGGUAACGGCUUACCAAGGCAACGAUGCGUAGCCGACCUGAGAGGGUGAUCGGCCACACUGGAACUGAGCCACGGUCCAGACUCCUACGGGAGGCAGCAGUAGGGAAUCUUCCGCAAUGGGCGAAAGCCUUGCGGAGCAACGCCGCGUGAGUGAUGAAGGUCUUCGGAUCGUAAAACUCUGUUAUUAGGGAAGAACAAAUGUGUAAGUAACUAUGCACGUCUUGACGGUACCUAAUCAGAAAGCCACGGCUAACUACGUG